GACGAACGCUGGCGGCGUGCUUAACACAUGCAAGUCGAACGAUGAAGGAGAGCUUGCUCUCCGGAUUAGUGGCGAACGGGUGAGUAACACGUGACUAACCUGCCCCUUUCUCUGGGAUAACGCUCCGAAAGGGGUGCUAAUACCGGAUACGAACUCUGAACACAUGUUCGGAGUUGGAAAGUUUUUCGGAAAGGGAUGGAGUCGCGGCCUAUCAGCUUGUUGGUGAGGUAACGGCUCACCAAGGCGACGACGGGUAGCCGGCCUGAGAGGGCGACCGGCCACACUGGGACUGAGACACGGCCCAGACUCCUACGGGAGGCAGCAGUGGGGAAUAUUGCACAAUGGGCGAAAGCCUGAUGCAGCGACGCCGCGUGAGGGAUGGAGGUCUUCGGAUUGUAAACCUCUUUCAGUAGGGACGAAGCGAAAGUGACGGUACCUAAAGAAGAAGCACCGGCUAACUACGUGCCAGCAGCCGCCGUAA
rnacentral:rRNA from 1 species